GCGCUCUUAGUUGAGUUCGGCAGAACAUCGAUUUCUAAAACCCGAUGUCGUAGGUUCAAAUCCUACAGAGCG
rnacentral:tRNA from 1 species